UGGAUAAUGGAACCAAAGGAAACAUAACAGACACCCAAGGCCCGUCACAGACUUUCCUACAGAUGUGAAGAAACCUCCUACAUACAGUGUGUCACAGGAUGAGCCUCUGUGGGGGGAAGACUAAAGGUCCCUAAGUGCACAAGUUAUGGAAAUUCAGGACAAACCAGAGAUGCAGGCAUCCUUGCUCUGGGUGACUGACUACAAUUUUAAUCCAGACCCAAGGACACCUUUUUGAAAAAACUUUGGCAGUUGAGUGGCUGUGACUUGGAAGACACCUCUGCUCCCAGUCAGGGCCCCAGCUGUGAGCCACAUGAAGACUUCUGGCCUGAAAAGAUCUGAACACCCCUCCUUAAUGAAUUUGCAUUUAACUGAGAAACAACCCUCAUGCAAAUCUGCGUUUACCCCAUUUUUCUCCUGGACUGUUCUCUCU